rnacentral:rRNA from 1 species
GACAGAGGCCCCAAGCGUUAGGCGGAAUCACUGGGCUUAAAGCGUGUGUAGGCGGACUUCUAAGUGCCUUGUGAAAUCCCACGGCUCAACCGUGGAACUGCUGGGCAUACUGGGAGUCUUGGGCCAUUCAGGGGCAACUGGAACAAGCGGUGGAGCGGUGAAAUGCGUAGAUAUCGCUUGGAACGCCGAAGGUGAAAACAGGUUGCUGGGGAUGUGCCGACGCUGAGACACGAAAGCCAGGGGAGCAAACGGGAUUAGAUACCCCGGUAGUCCUGGCCCUAAACGAUGUCCACUAGAUUAUGGCGCCUUUGACGGCGUCAUGGUCGAAGCAAAAGUGUUAAGUGGACCGCCUGGGAAGUACGGUCGCAAGGCUAAA